rnacentral:rRNA from 1 species
UCUGACCUCGAAUCAGGGGGACUACCCG